rnacentral:rRNA from 1 species
GAUGAACGCUGGCGGCGUGCCUAAUACAUGCAAGUCGAGCGAACAGACGAGGAGCUUGCUCCUCUGACGUUAGCGGCGGGCGGGUGAGUAACACGUGGAUAACCUAUCUUUAAGACUGGGAUCACUUCGGGAACCCGGAGCUAAUACCGGAUCAUAUGUUGAACCGCAUGGUUCAAUAGUGAACGACGGUUUUGCUGUCACUAAUUGAUAGAUCCCGGUCGCUUUAGUAAGUUGGUAGGGUAACGGCUUACCACGGCAACGCUGAGAAGCCGGCCUGAGAGGGUGAUCGGCAACACUGGAACGGAGCCACGGUCCAGACUCCUACGGGAGGCAGAAGUGGGGAAUCUUCGGCAAUGGGCGAAAGCCUGACGGAGCAACGCCGCGUGGGUGAGGAAGGUCUUCGGAUCGUAAAACUCGGUGAUUGGGGAGGAAGAAAUGUGGAAUGAAAUAUGCACGUCUUGACGGUACCUAAACAGAAAGCCACGGCUAACUACGUG